rnacentral:rRNA from 1 species
AAAUUGAAGAGUUUGAUCAUGGCUCAGAUUGAACGCUGGCGGCAGGCCUAACACAUGCAAGUCGAACGGUAACAGGAAGCAGCUUGCUGUUUCGCUGACGAGUGGCGGACGGGUGAGUAAUGUCUGGGAAACUGCCUGAUGGAGGGGGAUAACUACUGGAAACGGUAGCUAAUACCGCAUAAC